GUGGGGAAUCUUCCGCAAUGGACGAAAGUCUGACGGAGCGACGCCGCGUGAGUGAAGAAGGCCUUCGGGUCGUAAAGCUCUGUCAUCAGGGACGAACGGCCGGUGGAGUGGAAAGCCACCGGAUUGACGGUACCUGAGAAGGAAGCCACGGCUAACUACGUGCCAGCAGCCGCGGUAAUACGUAGGUGGCAAGCGUUGUCCGGAAUUAUUGGGCGUCAAGCGCGCGCAGUGGGGAUCUUAAGUCCAUUUUUAAAGUUCGGAGCUCAACUCCGUGAUGGGAUGGAAACUGGGAUUCUUGAGUACCGGAGAGGAAAGCGGAAUUCCCCGUGUAGCGGUGAAAUGCGUAGAUAUGGGGAGGAACACCAGUGGCGAAGGCGGCUUUCUGGACGGUGUCUGACACUGAGGCGCGAAAGCCAGGGGAGCGAACGGGAUUAGAAACCCCAGUAGUCC
rnacentral:rRNA from 1 species